GACGAACGCUGGCGGCGUGCUUAACACAUGCAAGUCGAACGGAAAGGCCCUGCUUUUGUGGGGUGCUCUAGUGGCGAACGGGUGAGUAACACGUGAGUAACCUGCCCUUGACUUUGGGAUAACUUCAGGAAACUGGGGCUAAUACCGGAUAGGAGCUCCUGCUGCAUGGUGGGGGUUGGAAAGUUUCGGCGGUUGGGGAUGGACUCGCGGCUUAUCAGCUUGUUGGUGGGGUAGUGGCUUACCACGGCUUUGACGGGUAGGCGGCAUGAGAGGGUGGACGCGCACAAUGGGACUGAGAUACGGCCCAGACGCGUACGGGAGGCAGCAGUGGGGAAUAUUGCACAAUGGGCGGAAGCCUGAUGAAGCAACGCCGCGUGCGGGAUGAAGGCCUUCGGGUUGUAAACCGAGUUCGCCUGUGACGAAGCGUGAGUGACGGUAAUGGGUAAAGAAGCACCGGCUAACUACGUG
rnacentral:rRNA from 1 species